ACGCAAUAGAUACCCGGGUAGUCCACGCCCUAAACGAUGUCUACUAGUUGUCGGGUCUUAAUUGACUUGGUAAACGCAGCUAAACGCGUGAAGUAGACCGCCUGGGGAGUACGGUCGCAAGAUUAAAACUCAAAGGAAUUGACGGGGACCCGCACAAGCGGUGGAUGAUGUGGAUUAAUUCGAUGCAACGCGAAAAACCUUACCUACCCUUGACAUGGAUGGAAUCCUUGAGAGAUUGAGGAGUGCCCGAAAGGGAACCAUUACACAGGUGCUGCAUGGCUGUCGUCAGCUCGUGUCGUGAGAUGUUGGGUUAAGUCCCGCAACGAGCGCAACCCUUGUCAUUAGUUGCUACGAAAGGGCACUCUAAUGAGACUGCCGGUGACAAACCGGAGGAAGGUGGGGAUGACGUCAAGUCCUCAUGGCCCUUAUGGGUAGGGCUUCACACGUCAUACAAUGGUACAUACAGAGGGCCGCCAACCCGCGAGGGGAGCUAAUCCCAGAAAGUGUAUCGUAGUCCGGAUUGUAGUCUGCAACUCG
rnacentral:rRNA from 1 species